rnacentral:rRNA from 1 species
AUACGUAGGGGGCGAGCGUUGUCCGGAAUGAUUGGGCGUAAAGGGCGCGUAGGCGGCCCGGUAAGUCUGGAGUGAAAGUCCUGUUUUUAAGAUGGGAAUUGCUUUGGAUACUGUCGGGCUUGAGUGCAGGAGAGGUAAGUGGAAUUCCCAGUGUAGCGGUGAAAUGCGUAGAGAUUGGGAGGAACACCAGUGGCGAAGGCGACUUACUGGACUGUAACUGACGCUGAGGCGCGAAAGUGUGGGGAACAAACAGGAUUAGAUACCCUGGUAGUCCACACUGUAAACGAUGAAUGCUAGGUGUAGGGGGUAUCGACCCCUUCUGUGCCGCAGUCAACACAAUAAGCAUUCCGCCUGGGGAGUACGGCCGCAAGGUUGAAACUCAAAUGAAUUGACGGGG